rnacentral:rRNA from 1 species
AUUGAACGCUGGCGGCAUGCCUUACACAUGCAAGUCGAACGGUAACAGGUUAAGCUGACGAGUGGCGAACAGGUGAGUAAUGUAUCGGAACGUGCCCAGUCGUGGGGGAUAACUGCUCGAAAGAGCAGCUAAUACCGCAUACGACCUGAGGGUGAAAGCGGGGGAUCGCAAGACCUCGCGCGAUUGGAGCGGCCGAUAUCAGAUUAGGUAGUUGGUGAGGUAAAGGCUCACCAAGCCGACGAUCUGUAGCUGGUCUGAGAGGACGACCAGCCACACUGGGACUGAGACACGGCCCAGACUCCUACGGGAGGCAGCAGUGGGGAAUUUUGGACAAUGGGCGCAAGCCUGAUCCAGCCAUGCCGCGUGCGGGAAGAAGGCCUUCGGGUUGUAAACCGCUUUUGUCAGGGAAGAAAAGGUUCUGGCUAAUACCUGGGACUCAUGACGGUACCUGAAGAAUAAGCACCGGCUAACUACGUG